rnacentral:lncRNA from 1 species
ACUUUGUCGGCGGAGGAGAAACACUGCUGCCUGAUGCUUGCACUGCUGCACUGUUCUUGCACCUGCUCCUAGCCCUGAACUCGGGCCCUGAGCUCCUCACUGCCGCCCGCUCUGCGCUGAGCCCCACUCCUGAGACCGCGAGGUGCCAGAGCAGCGCCUCUCCCACCAACUCCUAGACGCCUGUAGGAGCUGCGCCGGAGCCUUCAGAACCCCAUGGGGGUGUGGGGGUGAAGUUGGAGGUCAUCCGGGGCUUUCCGCCUGCACACAGUCAUUUGGAGAAAAUCAAGUGAGUGCACUUCUCCCCACAGAGGAUUCUGUAUGUUAUGUAACACACUCACACUGGGAUUCCUCAAGUUACCAUUUUGCCCCAACUCAGCCAGCACUUGGUUUUCUGGCGGGGGUGUCAGGAUGAUGCAAAUGGAGGUGGAAGCUUCAUUCCCUGGGGGCUUUUAUUCCCCUCCUUGAAGCCCCAGUUCAAGGCCCAGGAACAAAGGGGAAAGUGUGCAAUGUUCCAGCCGACUUAAUGGGCUUGCCUUAUGCGGAGAGGCAGUCCUGCAGGACAGAGCUAAUGUGUGGUCUCCCAGGAAGCUCAUCAGAACACCUCUUGUCCCUUUUCUUUAAAAGAAAAAAAAUUUAAAAAGUUUUUGCUUCCAUCUCAAUGUCCAUUCCAUUAUUUUGUAGCUACAAUAAAGAAACAUGGGCAGCA